CAUGGUGGCGCAACCCGGGCAUACCGGUUGGUAGAAAUACUAAGCGCUAUUGUUAUAUAGCCUACACUGUUCACAGUUUCCACCAUGGCACAGAGGUGGUGGUGUGUGCAGCAGCAGCACAGGUAACGGUCCAAGACAGGAGAAAACAGGUUGGUAGAAAACGAGUUGUAAAGCAAAGUUAUUUAUAUUUACCUUUGCAAGACGACUAUGUGCCUUUUUCAAAAAUAUACUACAUCUUGAUAUGGUUACAUGUUUUUGAUUGCAGUGGUAUAUGGAACUGGACAGUUCUGUUUUAAGGUUGUGGAGAGCAGUGCGAGGAGAGGUUGACACUGAGUGGUCCUGUGAGUCAGGAACAACUGGCUGGAAAUGAAUACUUGCACAUGGUCAAGGACCUUGCAGAGAUGAGGCAUGAUGGACUGGAAGGGUUGCCAGGCAGUAUUGGGCUUGAACGCAGGGUGCCAUUUUGUGUUAGCGGACAGAAACCGAGAUAUUACUCGAACAUUUCCUGGGACAGUGCCCUGACAGCCAGCACCCAGAUUACGUUUCUUUAGUUGGACCUUCUUUUUAUUUGUGACGCCCCUCACAUGUAUGUUACAGCUAGUGUUUGUUUGAAGGCCUGAAUGAUACCUCUGUUGAUUUGUUAAUGUAAUAUGUAUAAAGAUUGUUUUAGGAAGAAUGGAUGAGGGUCAGUGAACAUUAAGGUGUGAUAGUGCUUUACUGUCCACACCACAGUUCACCAGUGUAGAACUCUACAGGUCUUUAGUACAGGUCUGUGGAUGUUGGAGGUCUACACUAAUCCAAAAGUAAGGUGAGGUACGUUUAUUUGCACAUUUCAGACGCAGAGGCAAUUCAAAGUGCUUUCCAUGAUUAUUAAAACAUGAUAAUAGAACAGAGAGGAACACAAUAAAUAAACAUAAUGCAAUAACAGUUUCAUAAAAACAAUGCAUUAAUGAGAUAUAAAAUAGUUUAAAAAGGACAUUGUAAAUAUGGUAAGUGCUAAAACAAGUUAAAAGGCUUCUGGGUAAGCUGUAAAAAGUAGUGUUUUUAGCCUCGACUUAAAAGAACUCAGCGUUGGUGAAGACCUCAGGUUCUCUGGAAGUUUAUUCCAUUUGUGGGGAGCAUAAAAACUAAAAGCAGCUUCGGCGUGUUUGGUUCUGAGCCGGGGAGUAAGUUCCAGGGACAGCUAUACAUCUGAAAUGCAGAAUUGAUCUACAUUGUUUAAUUACAUUGUGAAAAGGUACCUUCUCAGAAGGCAACACAACAAAAAGGUGGUCCAUUAAAUGUGUUUUCCUUUGGUCAAUCAUAGAAAGGAAAGGUAUGAAUCAUGACUAAAUCAAGGAUGAGGAUGUCAACUACUUAAUGUACAAUAAAUAAUGCAUUACUUAUUGAAUUGCUUUACAUUGGGCUGUUACAGGUCCCUUUAGACAUGAUAGUCUGGUUACUCAUUGCUACUGCCUAUCCACUAUUGGUAAGAUGAUAUGGGGGGCUGAUGUAGGCUUUUGAUGAUGGGCUCUGUUUCAAAAGAAAUACAUAUACAUUAAGGGUUGAAUACAUAUACAGUAAGGGUUGAAUACAUAUACAUUAAGGGUUGAAUACAUAUACAUUAAGGGUUGAAUACAUAUACAUUAAGAGUUGAAUACAUAUACAGUAAGGGUUGAAUACGUAUACAUUAAGGGUUGAAUACAUAUACAUUAAGGGUUGAAUACAUAUACAGUAAGAGUUGAAUACAUAUACAGUAAGGGUUGAAUACAUAUAAAGGAAGGGUUGAAUACAUAUACAGUAAGGGUUGAAUACAUAUACAGUAAGGGUU